rnacentral:rRNA from 1 species
UACGGAGGAUGCAAGCGUUAUCCGGAUUUAUUGGGUUUAAAGGGUGCGUAGGCGGAUAUGUAAGUCAGCGGUGAAACUCACAGGCUCAACCUGUGCCGUGUCGUUGAAACUGUGUAUCUGGAAUGCGGAUGCUGUGGGAGGAAUGUGUAGUGUAGCGGUGAAAUGCAUAGAUAUUACACAGAACACCGAUUGCGAAGGCAUCUCACAAAGCCGUUAUUGACGCUGAGGCACGAAAGUGUGGGGAUCAAACA